rnacentral:rRNA from 1 species
UAAUGUCUGGGAAACUGCCUGAUGGGGGGGGAUAACUACUGGAAACGGUAGCUAAUACCGCAUAAUGUCGCAAGACCAAAGUGGGGGACCUUCGGGCCUCAUGCCAUCAGAUGUGCCCAGAUGGGAUUAGCUAGUAGGUGGGGUAACGGCUCACCUAGGCGACGAUCCCUAGCUGGUCUGAGAGGAUGACCAGCCACACUGGAACUGAGACACGGUCCAG